GCGCAAAAGUGCAUUUGCAUUAACACUGGAUACAUAAAGAGACCUUCAGCAUUAGGACAAAGUGCUGCUGGGUGGAACUAUUAUCUAAUUUUAGACGAACGCUGUUCCAGAGAAUCUGGCUAUGUGUACAGCAAAAUAUUUAACAGUUGCUACAAGCUCCACCCGGAAAACGCUUCCUUAUCAUAUGCUGAUUAUAGUCCUAUCUGUGAAAAUGAAGGGGGUGAACUUAUGAAAAUUGAUUCAGAGAAGAAACAACAACAUAUUGCAGAUUUUCUUGAUCAGUUCGAAAUUACUACAUGGAUUAUGUUCCAAGGAUAUCAUCGAACAGCAGAGUUACAUUGGUACUAUAACGAUGGGUCAAUUAUGUCUUAUUUUAAUUGGCACCCCACUCAGCCUGAAAAUACUUUAUAUCGCGU